CUAAAUACUACCCAGUGACCGAUAGCGUAUAGUACUGUGAAGGAAAGGUGAAAAGCACCCCGGGAGGGGAGUGAAAAAGAACCUGAAACCCUGUGCCUACAAGCACCUAGAGCACGUCAAUGUGUGAUAGGGUACUUUUUGUAGAACGGUCCGGCGAGCGAUUGUAUGCAGCAAGGUUAAGGACUUAAGGUCUGGAGCCGAAGCGAAAGCGAGUUUGAAAAGGGCGUUAAGUUGCAUACAAUGGGCCCGAAACCGGGUGACCUACCCAUGGUCAGGUUGAAGUGGAAGUAAAAUUCCAUGGAGGACCGAACCGACCUCCGUUGAAAAGGCGGCGGAUGAACUGUGGGUAGCGGAGAAAUUCCAAUCGAACCCGGAGAUAGCUGGUUCUCCCCGAAAUAGUUUUAGGACUAGCCUCAAGUUAGAUACCUGGAGGUAAAGCACUGAAUAGCCUAGCGGCCGAGAGGUUAGCGAAGCUUAUCAAACUCAGAAUGCCAGAGUAUUGAUGCUUGGGAGUCAGACAGUGUCAGAUAAAUGUCAUUGUCAAAAGGGAAACAGCCCAGAUCUACAGCUAAGGUCCCAAAGUCAGGUUAAGUGGAAAACGAUGUGAAGAUACGCAGACAACCAGGAUGUUGGCUCAGAAGCAGCCACUCAUUCAAAGAGUGCGUAAUAGCUCACUGGUCGAGCGUCUUUGCGCGGAGAAUUUAACGGGGCUAAACCUGACACCGAAGCUUAGGCAAUACAGCAAUGUAUUGGGUAGGGGAGCGUUGUAUACGCGGAGAAACAGUAGCGCAAGCGGCUGUGGAGUGUAUAGAAGUGAGAAUGCCGGAAUGAGUAGCGCGAAUGCAGUGAGAAUCUGCAUGGCCGAAAGCCUCAGGUUUCUGGAGGAAGGUUCGUCCGCUCCAGGUUAGUCGGGAGCUAAGGUGAGGCCUAACGGCGUAGCCGAUGCACAGACGGUAGAGAUUCCGUCACCACCAAAAGAGUUAAGCACAGGGACACAUUUGAAGUCUCAGAGCCGGGUGUUGGUUCCGGUAGAGAUCGAGGGAAGUUAGUACCGAAGUCUGAGAUGGAAGAUGGCGAGAAAAGCUGUGUGUAUUUCUGAGGUGCCCGUACCGCAAACCGACACAGGUAGGUAGGAAGAAGAUUCUAAGGCCAACGGGAGAAGGGUUGUUAAGGAACUCGGCAAAUUGACCCCGUAACUUCGGGAGAAGGGGUGCUCCAGAGAUGGAGCCGCAGAGAAUCGGCCCAAGCAACUGUUUACCAAAAACACAGGUUUGUGCUAAAUCGAAAGAUGACGUAUACGAGCUGACGCCUGCCCGGUGCUGGAAGGUUAAAAGGAGAUGUGCAAGCAUUGAAUUGAAGCCCCAGUGAACGGCGGCCGUAACUAUAACGGUCCUAAGGUAGCGAAAUUCCUUGUCAGGUAAGUUCUGACCCGCACGAAAGGCGUAAUGAUUUGGGCACUGUCUCAACAGCCCGCCCGGCGAAAUUGUAGUACCGGUGAAGAUGCCGGUUACCCGCGACAAGACGGAAAGACCCCAUGGAGCUUUACUGUAGCCU
rnacentral:rRNA from 1 species